UAGUAUAAUCUGUUUAAAAAGUUUUCCACAAAAAUUUAAAUUAAACUAAAUUCGGUAGUUAAAACGUAAAAUUUCUGUAAUUUUUUAUGUUAAAGAUGAAAUAUAUUAUGUUUAGAUUUUUCCCAAAAGAUUAUUUGAUUAAGUACUCUUCAAAUCGUGUGGUGUUAUACUUUAGGAAAAUGAUAGUUUGACACCCUUUGGGUGACAAACUUUUUACACCAAUGACGUGUCAGCCUCUCAUUGGUUCAUCUUUAAAAAAAAAAAAAUAAACGACGUGGAAAAUGGAAGACGGUAUCAGAAAUUGGAAUGAAUCAUUUCCUGAAAUUCAAAUUCAUUCUCAGAUCUUGAGAACGAAACCUAGAGAGAGAACGAAACCCUCCCAACGACCAAAGCCCCUUGACGAUUCUACCGUCGUUCGCCGUUUAAUGGCCACCAGAGGUCCACCAAGAGGCGGCGCCGCCGAUCAUCUUCGUGUUUCUUCCCACUGAUCAUAAGUAGUCUCACUCUCGCCUCUGUCACACUCACCCACCAGCCACCGUUGAAGGAGUUCAGAGUUCACCAGAGGUAAUACCGUUCACCGCAACCGUUCCAUCGUUAGCUACUUACGAAGCCAGAAAACGCCAUUGGAGGUCGGUUUUCGAAGCUUUUUUUCAUUUAUUUCGCUAUUGGUUAGCUUUUGUUCGGUGAGUUUAAUUUUUCUAAAACUUUUGUAGGCAUUUAGGUUUUGUCUUGAUAAAGUUGAAUGUUUUUCCGAAGUUUUUGUUGAACAUUUGGUUCAAAAUGUCCUUUAUUGGUGGAAAGUUCGAAUUUUUUUUGUUAAAUUCUUUAUUGGGCAUUUAGGAUUUUUUUGUUGAAUAUAUCUUUUAAAGUUACUAGUGACAAUGAAAGCCAUUCUUUCUCCUCUAAAUAAGCUUGUGAUUAACUUAUUUUUUGAGCACCCCUUUGUUACUGUCUUUUUUUUUUCUAUUUUUUUUUCAUUCUUUCUUCAAAAGAGUUAAAACGUUGAUGUUGAGGAUUAUAAUCGAGUGAAGAAACUUGCUAUAGAAAUUCAGGUUGUUUUAUUAGCAUAAAUUGCUCAUUUAAAUGAGUAUUGGGGCCUUUUUCAACCUUACAGUUGUAUAACACAAUUGAUUUUUUUAUACAUGUUUCAUGCCUUAUACAUGAACUUUGGCCGAUUUAAAUGUAGAUGUCCUAGUUCAAAUUAGAAGAUAUGGAGAUGCUAGUGGUGGUGUUGCUCAAGCUAUGGAUGAUUUGGAGGUUCCUUCAAUUGAUGAUAAAUAUUGAAGAUCAUGGAGGAGAUGAUGACUUUAAUGAAUAUGAAGAUCAUGUGGAGGAAGAUAACUAUCAUGUAUUUAAUAUGAAUUAUUUUAUUGGAUAGUUUGUUUCAAACAUUUGUGAAUGUAUAAGUUGUUUUUCAAAUAAGAAGUCUAUCAGAGAAGCAGGAUUUUCACGUCUAGAAAAAGAUCUUGCAAGCCACUGAUUGCAGCUUAUGGAAAGAGAAAAGAGAAUUCAAGACAUUCUGCAUGAUGAGGUCACUGGGAUAUUCUNUAUAUUUGAUGUUUGGUGAUAUAUUUUCUCUAUUAACAUUAAUUGUGUUAUGAUUUAACAAGGCUAACCUAAAACUUGAUUUGGAGAAGAAUAGGAAAUAAUUGGCUCAGUAUAAGAGGAUUGAUGUUUUGUUAAGGUAGAAGGAAGACGCAGGUAAAGAGAACCAACAACUAUCUAGGCAAUUAGAUGAGAUUAAACAAGAUUAUGGAGACACAUCUAGAGAGACUUAGAGAUGAAUUAAAGAAGGAGAAGNAAGAAAGUCGCCUUGAGAGAGGGAGACAACUAAAGAGUGAAAAGGCCAUAAAGGACUCUUACAACAAUGUUGAGCAUGCCCAAUUGUCUUUUUGUGCCCAAUACCAUUUCGGUGAUUUGUUUGGUUUAAUAUCUUGUAAAGCAAUGUCUUGUUAUGAUAUGUANUAGAAGACUCAAAGAUUAUAUUUUGAAAUAUUAUUGUACCAUUAGGUUUUAUUCAUACAUUAAA